rnacentral:rRNA from 1 species
UACGGGAGGCAGCAGUAGGGAAUCUUCCACAAUGGACGCAAGUCUGAUGGAGCAACGCCGCGUGAGUGAAGAAGGUUUUCGGAUCGUAAAGCUCUGUUGUUGGUGAAGAAGAAUAGAGGUAGUAACUGGCCUUUAUUUGACGGUAAUCAACCAGAAAGUCACGGCUAACUACGUGCCAGCAGCCGCGGUAAUACGUAGGUGGCAAGCGUUGU